rnacentral:rRNA from 1 species
UACGUAGGGAGCAAGCGUUGUUCGGAUUUACUGGGCGUAAAGGGAGCGUAGGCGGCGCGGUAAGUCACUUGUGAAAUCUCUGAGCUUAACUCAGAACGGCCAAGUGAUACUGCAGUGCUAGAGUGCAGAAGGGGCAAUCGGAAUUCUUGGUGUAGCGGUGAAAUGCGUAGAUAUCAAGAGGAACACCUGAGGUGAAGACGGGUUGCUAGGCUGACACUGACGCUGAGGCGCGAAAGCCAGGGGAGCAAACGGG